rnacentral:rRNA from 1 species
AGCAGCCGCGGUAAUUCCAGCUCCAAUAGCGUAUAUUAAAGUUGUUGCAGUUAAAAAGCUCGUAGUUGAAUUUCGGGAUCAGAUUGUCGGUCGUGCCUCGGUACGUACUGGCAUUAUUGGUUCCUACCUUCUGAAGAACCGCGAUGUCAUUAAUUUGGUGUCGUGGGGAAUCAGGACUGUUACUUUGAAAAAAUUAGAGUGUUUAAAGCAGGCGCACGCUUGAAUACAUUAGCAUGGAAUAAUGAAAUAGGACGUUUGAUUCUAUUUUGUUGGUUUCUAGGAUCGACGUAAUGAUUAAUAGGGAUAGUUGGGGGCAUUAGUAUUCAAUUGUCAGAGGUGAAAUUCUUGGAUUUAUUGAAGACUAACUACUGCGAAAGCAUUUGCCAAGGAUGUUUUCAUUAAUCAAGAACGAAAGUUAGGGGAUCGAAGACGAUCAGAUACCGUCGUAGU